rnacentral:misc_RNA from 1 species
GAUGAAGAACGAAGCGAAAUGCGAUAAGUAAUGUGAAUUGCAGAAUUCAGUGAAUCAUCGAGUCUUUGAACGCACAUUGCGCCCCCUGGUAUUCCGGGGGGCAUGCCUGUCCGAGCGUCAUUGCUGCCCUCAAGCACGGCUUGUGUGUUGGGCCUCCGUCCUCCUCCCGGGGGACGGGCCCGAAAGGCAGCGGCGGCACCGCGUCCGGUCCUCGAGCGUAUGGGGCUUCGUCACCCGCUCUUGUAGGCCCGGCCGGCGCUUGCCGACACAUCAAUCUUUUUUCCAGGUUGACCUCGGAUCAGGUAGGGAUACCCGCUGAACUUAAGCAUAUCAAUAAGCGGAGGA